rnacentral:other from 1 species
UUUUCCCUGCGGUGUUGGUGACAUUCUAACUGUAUUUAUUCCUACAAGUCUAAACAGGAGAAUCUAAGACGAGCGUUUGCUCGAGGGCUUAUGCCUCUGAUUCUCACCUGAUACAAGGGCUUUAAAUCUUUUAGAAUGCACGGCAUCGCGGGGUUUUU